rnacentral:rRNA from 1 species
CCGGUGGCUCUCUUUGAGGCGGGCUGGACCUCUCGGGGUUACAGCCUUGCUGAAUUAUUCACCCUUGUCUUUUGCGUACUUCUUGUUUCCUUGGUGGGUUCGCCCACCACUAGGACAAACAUAAACCUUUUGUAAUUGCAAUCAGCGUCAGUAACAAAUUAAUAAUUACAACUUUCAACAACGGAUCUCUUGGUUCUGGCAUCGAUGAAGAACGCAGCGAAAUGCGAUAAGUAGUGUGAAUUGCAGAAUUCAGUGAAUCAUCGAAUCUUUGAACGCACAUUGCGCCCUUUGGUAUUCCAAAGGGCAUGCCUGUUCGAGCGUCAUUUGUACCCUCAAGCUUUGCUUGGUGUUGGGCGUCUUGUCUCUAGCUUUGCUGGAGACUCGCCUUAAAGUAAUUGGCAGCCGGCCUACUGGUUUCGGAGCGCAGCACAAGUCGCACUCUCUAUCAGCAAAGGUCUAGCAUCCAUUAAGCCUUUUUUUCAACUUUUGACCUCGGAUCAGGUAGGGAUACCCGCUGAACUUAAGCAUAUCAAUAAGCCGGAGGAA